UCCUCUAGAAAUUGGGUCCUCCCAAAACAUGAUCCACCCCUAUUUAGGUCCAGCAGACACACCAUGGCUCAGAGGGGACUACUGGCUUUCCCAAGGUCACGCAGGCAGUCGGAGGCCAAUACCCUAGAUGUCCUCUGUCCGCCCAGUGAGGCUGGGAAAGAAAAGGGUCCCUCCCACCCAAAGAACAAGCUGGCACUGGUGGUUCCUGCCUUUCCCAUGAGAACUCUCCUUCACCUCACAGACUUGCUCGCCAGCAGGAUCCUUAAAGUCACCCUCGGAUGUCCAGAAGAGGAGAGUGACCUGUGUCAUUGGCAACCUCCAGCCUGGGCUCCAGAGAUGGAUGGUCUCCCCUGCCCAGCAGAACUGAAUCAAGGGAGGAACCCCUCUGCCAGGAAGCUGCCUGCAGUCCUUAGCUCCCUUCUCUGGGAACCUUGACUCCCUGGCAAGCCGGAGGCCGGGAAAUGACGAGCAGGAGUUGAAAGGACGAGGCGGAGACCGGGGGUAUUACUGAUGUGCUAGAGGAGAGCUUUCGCAGAAGGAGACGCUGACUUCAGGCACAACUGGGCAGAAACAUUGAUGGCACCUUAUAAACACUUUCUAGCUCUCCUGGAGUGCCUUCCGUGUGGCCAUUUCAAGCAAGGCUGAGCCCCUCUGAACCAGAGGAGAUGGGAAUUCGGGUCCAGAGGAGAGAGACCUGUCCUGGGUCUCCUAACUGGCUGACCCAAAGCCUGAACUCCAGGCCUCCUGACACCCAGACACAUGGUUCCUGUGGGUGAACAGCCGCACUCAGAGCUAUUUGUCCAAGACAGAAAAGACCGGAGGAAGUGAGAGCUGAGAGACGUGUCGUCUGCCACAGACAGCGAGUGUGUGAAUUCCGCCACCUGCCCCAGGUACAGAGGUCGGAGCCGGAUGCGUUAGUUAGGAGCGGAGACACCAACCCCGUCGGUGAGGCCGCUUCCUUCCCAGACCCUCCACGCCAAUGUCUGAAGAUGGCAGACUCCUUGAAAGGGUAACUAGCACUAACUUAGAACCUAGGAUAUGUUGAAUAUGCAGGCCAUUUAAUGAUCAUAAUAGCCAUGUGCCCUAGAAACCAAUUUUUGCAUCGUACCACAAGGAAACAAAGUUCAGGUGAGUUGCCCAAGGUCACUUAAGGGCAGACGUGGGUAUCAAAUCCAGUCUAAGAAUUAAUAUCUCUGUUAUAUGAUUCUCAACCUUAGCUAGACAUAUUCUGGAAUCAUUUGCUAAAGUUUUGUUUUUUAGAUUUUAUUUUUAAGCAAUCUCUACACCCAGCAUGAGGCUCAAACCCACAACCCUGACAUCAAGAGGAACACGCUCCACCAACUCAGCCAGACAGGCACCCCAGGGUUGCUGGUCGUUUUUGUGUUUUUUUUUAAGACUUUAUUUUAGAGAGAGGAAGAGGGAGGAACAGAGGAGAGGGACAAGCA